rnacentral:lncRNA from 1 species
AAUGACAUAAUUUCGAAAAUAAUUGAAAAUUCCAAUUUGAUAGCUGGAUAAUAUAUAACUUUAAAUAGUAAGGUUUCAAGCUAACUUGAAGUAAUGGCAUGAGAAUUUAAACAUCAAAUGAGUCCCAUAUUAGUAGUUCCUGUAAGAUUGACACUGAAUAGAAGCAAAAUUAAACUGACAAUUACUAGUUAUUGAAUCACUAACUAGCAUUGAACUGACACCCAUUUCUAUGUUUAAACACAUUCACAUGCUAAUCAAUGCAUGUUUUUACCCAUUGAACAAAACUAGACCAUUUCCUUUUCCUUUUCUCUCAACGCGAUUUUAUACACACGAAUCUUAAAAGAAACAUUUAUCUACCCAAUUACAUGAACAUUGCAACAUCCAAACACCACAAACAUGUGCCAACAAUUUAGAUGAACUACAUAACAGAGAAUGUCCAAUUCAGUCCACAUUACAUGAUUUAAGGGAUGAAAUGUAGAGUCUAAAACUACCGAUUCAACCAAAUAAAAUGUUUCCCAAGUUUCAUAAUGGUCCCAAACUAAAUACAAUAACAAAACUCAAUGUCUAAAACAAGACUCAACUGGAUAAUACAACAUUUCAUGCUACUAAAAGAAACAUAACGUCAAAACAAAAGAUACAAGUGAAUCACAAAUAAGAUUGGUAUCAUGCUUUAAACUUCUACUUUUUAUUUUUCAAAUUUCACUUCACAAUCAAUAGAUCCCAGGAGGGUGUACCUGAAUACAGCCAGAUAAAAACCAAAACAAGAUCUUUAAGUUAUUUGACAACAGCUGUAGUAGUUCAAUAAAGAAGAAGCAAACAACGGAAGCAGUUCAGAAUUUCAUCAAUGGAACAGUGACCCAACAUCCCUUAAACUAGCUUCCAUUCCAGAAUAAGCUAAGAAAAUCAUUUUGGGUUUCAUAAUGAAGAGACUAACUCAAUACUGGACCAAUUGUUCACUAAAAACACAAGAAUUUUGAAGUUGUUUCUUCUUGCGCUCAAUACUAUUUCAGACUUUUCCUCCCAAAAACUCUAGCUGUUUAAAUUUUUAGUAUUUUUAUCUCCAAAAAUUUCCCUUGUUGGUGAAGAAACGAUGCCUUUAUAGGCAAGGUAUUAGGGCUGUAGAGUUGAACUAAGUUUUGCCUUUAGGACAUUUUCUAAUUUUCAUUUUUAAUUAGAAAACCUUGGUGUAAAAUUCAGAUUUUCAGUUAGCUCACCACCCCAAAUUCUAGGAAGCUUCCUCAAUCACUUACUGAGAUUCCCCCACCUAGAGUUCCUAAAUUAACCCUUUAAACCUUGGUUUUUACUCUAGGAACACAAAUGAUUCAAAAUGACCCGAUAGUUAAACCAACUGUGGGCUCAAUUCUAACCCAAUGAUCUAACCUAACCCCAUUGGGGUGUGGUAUGCAAUGACUUAAAAGCCCAAACAACAAAAUAAACUGUAAUCAUAUCAGUUAACAAACAAAGGGCAAACACUUGAAUGAUUUCGAGAAUUAAAACCUACACUAAUCGACUGAUUACUACACACAAGUAAGCAGUAAAUUAACCAAGUUAUCAAAAUAACCUUAAUUAAAUUAACUAGGUGACUAAACGAAAUAUGAUAUCAGAACUUUAAAUAGGCUAAUAGCACAAUUAAGGAAAACAUAGAACAAGCCUUUACAAAGGAAAAAGAAAAAAACAACGAACAGAAGACAAUUUAAACCCGGAGGAUUGGUCUACUUUCAAAUAAGCUAGUAGAAGAAAACUAAACCAAUGAAAAUGGAAGGAGAAUAGAGAAAUAAAAUAGUAAAGGAAUGAACAAAC